AGUGAACGCUGGCGGCAGGCCUAACACAUGCAAGUCGAACGGAAGCACAGUGCUUGCUUGCUGUUACGGGUGGGGAGUGGUGGAUGGGAGAGGAGAAUAUCGGACUCUACUUUUUCGUGGGGGUUAACGUAGGGAAACUUACGACAAUACAGCAUACGACCUACGGGUGAAAGCAUGGGAUCUUUGGACCUUGCGGGAUUGAAUGCGCCGAUGUCGGGUUAGUUAGUUGGCGGGGUACAGGCCCACCAAGGCGACGAUCCGUAGCUGGUCUGAGAGGAUGAUCGGCCACACUGGAACGUAGCCACGGUCCUGACUCCUACGGGAGGCAGCAGUGGGGAAUAGUGGACAAUGGUCGCAAGCCUGAUCCAGCCAUACCGCGUGUGUGAAGAAGGCCUUCGGGUUGUAAAGCCCUUUUUCUGGUUAUGAAAAGCAGUAGGUUAAUACCCCGCGUUUCUGACGGUACCCAAAGAAUAAGCACCGGCUAACUUCGUG
rnacentral:rRNA from 1 species